rnacentral:rRNA from 1 species
AUUGAACGCUGGCGGCAUGCCUUACACAUGCAAGUCGAACGGUAACAGGUCUUCGGAUGCUGACGAGUGGCGAACGGGUGAGUAAUACAUCGGAACGUGCCUAGUAGUGGGGGAUAACUACUCGAAAGAGUGGCUAAUACCGCAUGAGAUCUACGGAUGAAUGCAGGGGAUCGCAAGACCUUGUGCUACUAGAGCGGCCGAUGGCAGAUUAGGUAAUUGGUGGGAUAAAAGCUUACCAAGCCGACGAUCUGUAGCUGGUCUGAGAGGACGAUCAGCCACACUGGGACGGAGACACGGCCCAGACUCCUACGGGAGGCAGCAGUGGGGAAUUUUGGACAAUGGGCGCAAGCCUGAUCCAGCAAUGCCGCGUGCAGGAUGAAGGCCUUCGGGUUGUAAACUGCUUUUGUACGGAACGAAAAGCCCUGGGUUAAUACCCUGGGGUCAUGACGGUACCGUAAGAAUAAGCACCGUCUAACUACGUGCCAGCAGCCACCGUAACAC